UGUGGAUGCUAACCAAAUGCAGUGGUUGCAAAGCAUUGCUGUGCAUGUGAUUAAUCUGAGUAAAGCGCUUUUUUUGUUUUUUUUUGUUUUGUUUUGUUAAACCCUUGAUAUUCAACAUCCUCAAAGUUGUGAUGACUGUACAAACUGGAAUUGAUGAGUAAAUGUGUUUUUAUGCAAAUUAUGCUAUAACAUCAUAUGCAGAAAAUGUCCUUUUUAAAAUGUAAUCUCAAAUAAUCAACAGUCCCUUAAGUCUGGUAUUAAAAACAUCUGACCGUGCCAAAGGAGCUCUUACCAACACCUGGCAAGGUAAUCUGAACAUUAAAGAGCCCAGAUUUUUUUUUGUCCUCUCCACUCCUUGAUGGAAGCCCUCUCGUUGUUGACUGUCAAUGCUAUAGAGCUCCAAGUGAGGUCCUGACAGUGUUAAUAGUGGUUCCUUCUGGGAAAUCAACAGCUGCUGAGGUGAGUCGUCCUGUGAUUCUUAAUAUUUACUACACUGUGUAUAUUGCACUCUUUACUGGGUCAAACCAUGUUCCCCAGAAAGCUUUGUGGUGGAGAAUGACCCUUUAUUUUAGUCAAUGCUAGGUAGUGGGUAGAUUCAGUCACCUGCAGGUGCAAAUCCACUGCUGCUGAGCUCAGAUAUCAGAUAGAUGGGGCACCCCAAACAUGGAGACAGAUUAUAGCAGUGAGCACAAGCACUGUUUUAUUCUUUGGUGGAAUGUGUUUAUAGUGCAGGACUGUCCUGUUUGAUCAUGCAGUCAAGAUGCGUUUUU